UCUCUGUUGUGUUUUGCAUUAGUCUUUUUUUCUCCCUACACUAUGCAGGUCUACCUCUUUCUCAUAAAUGUCCAAAUUUCUGGUCAUUCAUGUUGCUCUUCUUUGGACCUUAUUGGCCUACAUGUUCCUUAGAGUUAGUUGUGCAAAACGUCGUCUGGAUAUAAUACCUUGAGGUCUUGCAGGUAUUGAGUAAAGGAAAAACUUCUAUUUUUCUUACACCUUUGUGUUCAUCUUUUGACCAACUGUAGCACCCAGAUCUUUACCUACAAAGUAGUACCAAGCCAAUUAUUCUUAAUUCAUAUAACAAACUAUUGCUGACUCGCUUGACUUGAAUCCUAUUUUUUGAGACUAUUCCAGAACAGUCAAGAGCCUCUGCAGUGCUUCUUCUGCUCUGCAGCAGAUGUGGAACCCUUCCCAACAAUGUGCAAUGUGAUAACACCACGUUCUCUUGUAUCAUCCAGUUCAUUAGCAAUGAAUAGUAUCAGGCCAGGAGAGACCUGUGUGCAGUCCACUUGCUGCAGCCUUUGACAGCAAACCAUUGCUCCACUGUGGAAGGAGGCAGGUGUGGUAGGUCCCUCACUGAAGAAGUUUCCUCCAGCCCCCAGCCAACUUCAGAAGUCACUUGCUGUGAUCUAAGAGGUUAAUACCAAAACCACAGGGCAACACUUUUCAAUAAAUCUCCACCAACUGGUCUUAAUCAAGUCCAGAAAUGUUCCACCUUCUCUCUGCAGAAGGAAAUAACAA